AAUCCAUGCAUUGGACAUUUUCGAAUUGAAUCUUUGAAUCAUUCCCAAGCUUUAUAUAGUGUUUCAUCCUCUAAUUUCUGAAAAGAUGUGAUAUCAUUUCUAAGCUU
rfam:Gossypium hirsutum cultivar TM-1 chromosome 15, whole genome shotgun sequence